rnacentral:rRNA from 1 species
UACGUAGGUGGCAAGCGUUGUCCGGAUUUACUGGGCGUAAAGAGCGCGCAGGCGGUCGAAUAAGUCGAAUGUGAAAGCCCCCGGCUUAACUGGGGAGGGUCAUUCGAUACUGCUCGACUUGAAGGCAGGAGAGGGAAGUGGAAUUCCCGGUGUAGUGGUGAAAUGCGUAGAUAUCGGGAGGAACACCAGUGGCGAAGGCGGCGACCUGGACGGACACUGACGCUGAGACGCGAAAGCGUGGGGAGCAAACAGG